GUACUAAGAUUCAUAGAAAAGGGCAUUUUUCGCUGUCAUUUAUAUAUUGCUGAGAAAGAGAGACUUGACACAUUGAAACUACUUACAGAAAUUCACCGACAAUUACCGAACGCGGAUAGUUUUAAAUAAGUCGAGUAGCCUUCCUGCUGCGCCCGCGGACGUAGUAAAUCUAGCUACACACGCCAGCUCAAUGCGCCCGAACAGAAUUGCGGUUGGGCACAUGGCGCAUUUCUAUCAUUUACACACGUGGAUGCACGCAGCGUACUAAAAAAAACGAUGUUUCCAACUCUUUAUACGUUUCUUGUGAUGCAGACGUUAUUACCCUCAAGGAAACUUGCCUGCAGCCUGGCCACUGAACCACCGAUAUCCUGUCAACAUCCAGAAGCACCCUCGAGGUUUACCCUGGCAACUGGCAAGCACGCGCUCUGCUCUUCUGCGACUUGUCUGAUCCAGGCGCAUUCCCCUGUAUAGUCCCCGGGAAAAACACAGGACGGCACAUACCGCCACAAGCCGGCCUACGUGGAGACACCAAUCACUCAUGUGCAUCCCCAGAAAACGGAUUCCUCAGAGCAUUUGCUUCU